rnacentral:tRNA from 3 species
CGGGAUAGCACAGCUGGUAGAGCAGA